CCCCCUUUAAAAGCACUCACUGGGCCUCUCGCUAGUGACCCACUGAGCCGUCGACAAAGGGCAGAGUAAAGGCAUCGUCUUUGGGUGAAGCGGCAGCGUGUCGUGUUGCUCAGCUUCAGUCGGCGAUGUUACAAGG